rnacentral:rRNA from 1 species
GACGAACGCUUGCGGCGUGCUUAACACAUGCAAGUCGAACGGAAAGGCCCUGCUUUUGUGGGGUGCUCGAGUGGCGAACGGGUGAGUAACACGUGAGUAACCUGCCCUUGACUUUGGGAUAACUUCAGGAAACUGGGGCUAAUACCGGAUAGGAGCUCCUGCUGCAUGGUGGGGGUUGGAAAGUUUCGGCGGUUGGGGAUGGACUCGCGGCUUAUCAGCUUGUUGGUGGGGUAGUGGCUUACCAAGGCUUUGACGGGUAGCCGGCCUGAGAGGGUGACCGGCCACAUUGGGACUGAGAUACGGCCCAGACUCCUACGGGAGGCAGCAGUGGGGAAUAUUGCACAAUGGGCGGAAGCCUGAUGCAGCAACGCCGCGUGCGGGAUGACGGCCUUCGGGUUGUAAACCGCUUUCGCCUGUGACGAGGCGUGAGUGACGGUAAUGGGUAAAGAAGCACCGGCUAACUACGUGCCAGCAGCCGCGGUGAUACGUAGGGUGCGAGCGUUGUCCGGAUUUAUUGGGCGUAAAGGGCUCGUAGGUGGUUGAUCGCGUCGGAAGUGUAAUCUUGGGGCUUAACCCUGAGCGUGCUUUCGAUACGGGUUGACUUGAGGAAGGUAGGGGAGAAUGGAAUUCCUGGUGGAGCGGUGGAAUGCGCAGAUAUCAGGAGGAACACCAGUGGCGAAGGCGGUUCUCUGGGCCUUUCCUGACGCUGAGGAGCGAAAGCGUGGGGAGCGAACAGGCUUAGAUACCCUGGUAGUCCACGCUGUAAACGGUGGGUACUAGGUGUGGGGUCCAUUCCACGGGUUCCGUGCCGUAGCUAACGCUUUAAGUACCCCGCCUGGGGAGUACGGCCGCAAGGCUAAAACUCAAAGGAAUUGACGGGGCCCCGCACAAGCGGCGGAGCAUGCGGAUUAAUUCGAUGCAACGCGUAGAACCUUACCUGGGUUUGACAUGGAUCGGGAGUGCUCAGAGAUGGGUGUGCCUCUUUUGGGGUCGGUUCACAGGUGGUGCAUGGCUGUCGUCAGCUCGUGUCGUGAGAUGUUGGGUUAAGUCCCGCAACGAGCGCAACCCUUGUUCACUGUUGCCAGCACGUUAUGGUGGGGACUCAGUGGAGACCGCCGGGGUCAACUCGGAGGAAGGUGGGGAUGACGUCAAGUCAUCAUGCCCCUUAUGUCCAGGGCUUCACGCAUGCUACAAUGGCUGGUACAGAGAGUGGCGAGCCUGUGAGGGUGAGCGAAUCUCGGAAAGCCGGUCUCAGUUCGGAUUGGGGUCUGCAACUCGACCUCAUGAAGUCGGAGUCGCUAGUAAUCGCAGAUCAGCAACGCUGCGGUGAAUACGUUCCCGGGGCU